CACACCGUAAACGAUGAGCACUAGGUGUCGGGUUCGCAAGAGCUCGGUGCCGCAGUUAACGCAUUAAGUGCUCCGCCUGGGGAGUACGUACGCAAGUAUGAAACUCAAAGGAAUUGACGGGGACCCGCACAAGCAGCGGAGCAUGUGGUUUAAUUCGAAGCAACGCGAAGAACCUUACCAGGACUUGACAUCCCUCUGACAGGCCAGAUAACGACGGCCUUUCUUCGGACAGAGGUGACAGGUGG
rnacentral:rRNA from 1 species